UCAGGUUCAGGGAUUCAACAAAGCACCCUAAAAAACACCGGGGUAAAAACAACCCAAAUCGGGUUAUUUUUAACCCAAUGGCUGGGUAAAUAUAGGACAGAACACAUUUUGAGCUAAACUAACUCAUUAAGUUGGGUUGCUCAUUUUACACUAAACAAAUAAUCGAACACAAUCUGCUUUGCAAAGGAAAACUCGACUCUCAGAAAGCGAUUUUCUCACAAACGCAGCUGUGAGAAAACGCAGCAACUUCCUCUUCCAAACCAACAGACGGCGCUAUCGGUCAAUUUACACCAGUCUCCCGAGAAGCAUUACAUCAUUCCACAGUACAGUGCAGGUUCGCGGGGAACCUGGAGCCUGUCCCAGGGAGUAUGGGGCACAAGGCAGGGUACACCCUGGACAGGGUGCCAAUCCAUCGCAGAGCACAAUCAUAUACGCAAUCACACACUACAGACCCUUUGGACAUGCCAGUCAGCCUACCAUGCUUUGGACUGUGGGGAAAACCAAAGUACACAGAGGAAACCCUGCAGCACGGGGGAGCCGCGGGAAUCAAACCCCCAACCCUGGUGGUGUGAGGCAAACGUGCUAACCACUAAGCCAGAUCAAUACCGUAUAAUGUCCAAUAUUGUCCAAAAAGUGUUACUGAUUGUACUGAUGGAAUCUAAGUGUAAUAAAAUGAUAUAAUGUUGUAUGUUUUA